AUGAACGCUGGCGGCGUGCCUAAUACAUGCAAGUCGAGCGAACAGACGAGGAGCUUGCUCCUCUGACGUUAGCGGCGGACGGGUGAGUAACACGUGGAUAACCUACCUAUAAGACUGGGAUAACUUCGGGAAACCGGAGCUAAUACCGGAUAAUAUAUUGAACCGCAUGGUUCAAUAGUGAAAGACGGUUUUGCUGUCACUUAUAGAUGGAUCCGCGCCGCAUUAGCUAGUUGGUAAGGCAACGGCUUACCAAGGCGACGAUGCGUAGCCGACCUGAGAGGGUGAUCGGCCACACUGGAACUGAGACACGGUCCAGACUCCUACGGGAGGCAGCAGUAGGGAAUCUUCCGCAAUGGGCGAAAGCCUGACGGAGCAACGCCGCGUGAGUGAUGAAGGUCUUCGGAUCGUAAAACUCUGUUAUUAGGGAAGAACAAAUGUGUAAGUAACUAUGCACGUCUUGACGGUACCUAAUCAGAAAGCCACGGCUAACUACGUG
rnacentral:rRNA from 1 species